UUUCUUUCCCGUCCUUUUUAAGGAUGUCCAAAUCCAUUUCAUCACAGAGCAAUCUCAUCUCAAGCUAGCCCAAUGACGCAUCGGAGGAAUCCAACCCCACCUGGUCCUCCUCCACCAGGUUCUCCAAUGCCACCCCCACCUUUUGCACACCCUCCACCUCCAACUCCACCUGAUCCUUUUGCACCGCCACCACAUCUGUAUCAUCCACCACCACCACCAGACCCUUUUGCUCCUCCACCUCCACACCCUUUUGCACCACCUCCACUGUUCGAUCCACAUCCUCCGCCUCCUCCAUUUGCUUAUCCACCACCACCACCAGCAGCAGGACCUCCUCCGCCUCAUAAUCACCAUCCGCCGCCUUACUAGCUAAUAUACAUUUGAGAUAAGACCCUUUGCUUUGUAUAUAUAUGUAGUGUUGUGUCCCCUCUUUAUAUGUAUACUUGUUACUAUAGUAUGUUUCUUUAGCUGUGUUUCUCAAUUAAUGUCACAAACUUAGAGAAAUGUAGUGCCAGUUGAUUGUAUGUACUUAUCUGAAGAGAAUAAUAGACUUGUAGAUUAUUGUUGGAUAAUCUCAUGGCAGUUUCCAGUGAAUUUAAACUAAAAAAUUCUUUUGCUAUUUGUUAAUUCAUCUCAUUAAAUUCACUUUCUUUUGCCAGACUAAGAUUUUAGAGCUUAUAUUUGAUGUUUAUUCAAAUUAUAAUAAGAUAGAAUUUUUUUAAUUUGGUAUUAAAAUUGUAUUGUAAUCAAAUUAAUAGUAAUGAGAAUUUAAUCAAUUGGUUCAAUCGAUUCCUCUUUUAGCUAAUUAAAAACUGAAACUUUUUUGAAAUAGUAAUUCAAUUAUUAAAAAUUUAGUAAAUUAGAACUAAAUCGAAAUUGAAGGAUCCUAGUAGCCGAUUCCAGUCUUCAUGAACUUAGAUCAAAGAUGCAUGUACUGCCCAUAUAGCUGACGUAAUUCUUAGAUGUGUAAAUUUCAAGUUAGGAGAAAAAAGGAAAUGAAAAAAAAAUUUACUAUUUAUAUAUAAAUUUCAUAUGGACAAAAAUUACCAUAAAAAUAAAUCAUUUGUAUUUCACCAGAACAUAAUACUCACAUAUUUAAUCUGAUGAUAAAUAUAUUUAAGUAAAUUUGAGAGAUCUCAUAUUUACUCCUUCAAUACCUCUCAAAUUUACUCUUUCAAUCUAAUGUUGUCAUAAAUGUUAUCGGUAGUCUUGUCUUUAUAAAUCAAUGUCUUGCCCAGAUAUAAUUUUAAGGUUCUUCAAUGUCAAAUAAAGAAAAAAAAAAGAAAAAGGGAAAAAAAAAAACUUGUCAUUAGAUGCUCGAUGGCUAAUUUAGUGAAAGUAUUUUAUUGAGUAUCGUAGUUUUAAUAUAUCUAAAUAAAUUGAAAUUAACAUUUUUUCCACAUCUAACGAGCAGACAAAAAAGCAACAAUUUAAAUUAUUUCUCAGUUUUCGUCGUUCUCCAUGGAUGAUCUCUGAAGUAUCCUCUCCCUUGCCCUCUUUACCUGCAAUAUAUGCUUUUCAAAUUUUCAUAAUGCAGUUGGUAAAAAAAACGAACGUCCGACCAAAGUAGACAAUAUAAAUGCAGAAAUCAGAAGAAAGAAGAUUAGGAAGGAGAAACCUGUUUUUCCCAAUUUAUGAAAGCAGUAAUAAGAGAAAGAAGAGCUGAUUGCACCAUUGAUCCAGCUACUAUUCCAAUCCAAAGCCCCUUUCCUCUUAAGUGAGCUACAAAGCCAAGCACAGCACCCACUGGAAGUCCACACAGGUAAAAUGCAGCAAGAUUGAUAUAAGCUCCUAUGUGCUGCCAUCCGCACCCUCUAGCCACCCCUGAUCGCAAAACAAUGGACAGCUUUUAAGCAAGGACUUGAGGUAGCAAAUACCAUUGUUAAUCCUGGUAUUUGACUGCAAUUUAAAAAGGCAAUGGAGUAGGCAUUUGGACUAACCAGAAAGCACAGCUUGCAAACUGUCCAUAAUAACAGAGAGACAAAUGAGUGGUGUCAUGAUUGAGACAUAAUCCACAACCUGCUUGUCAUUGCUGUAAGCAUAUCCUAGGAAAUGGCGGCAGAAAAAGAGACUUGUGCUUACAAUCACUGCCUCUGCUCCAGCAACGCACAUAGCAACCACCACAGCCAAUCGAGCUGAAUGAGGAUUUCCAGCCCCUACUUCAUUUGAAACUCGAGUACUACACAAAGUAUUAUGGUUUUUAUUUUUGUAAUUAAUGGGAUUUCCCAGCCAAAAAAUAGUAAAUGGAUAUUUUCAACCUCCUUUGAUCAAGUUUCCUAUCGGUUUCUCAUUCUUAAUUACGAGUCUUUUCAUCAAAGGUUAUUCGAGUGAAAGACACAUUAUGGACAUAAUUAAUUUACUGAAAGAUCAAUCGGAUGCAGCAAAAGAUAAGGUUAAGAGGAACACCUUGCUGCAGCUCCAAAUCCAUAUGGUAUGGUGAAGUGCAAUGUAGAAAUUGUGAGGCUGUGAAAGAAAAAUGGAAUUAGAAGCAGCAGACUGUUUAAGAUUUUCUAAUCUGUUAACGCAUAUACGCUGCAAUGCACAUAUGAGGCAUACCAUAUAGAAAGCACAGAAGUCUCCAAUUUUGCAUUUGGUAAAAGACCAGAAAGCAAAGUUAGCAACUCCAUGGACCACCAUUUAAGACUACAAUCACAUCAGACAAAGUUUAAAUCAGAAAAAAGAAAUCAUGUUCUUGAUCAAUUUUUUUUUUUUAAAUAAAGAAAGGGGAAUUACCAAACCAUUACAGCAGAAGGGACUCCCAAGCGGAAGAUCUCUCCAAUACCAAGAAAUGCAUCUUUGGAAAUUGGCGUCCGAGUUUUCUGACAGGCAGAAGAGCACUUCACAUAAAAUCCAAGCAGAAAGACGUUUAGCCAAAUCGACAAACCGAAGGCUAAAGCUGUACCCUUGUAUCCUAAUCCUAGCUUAUAUACAAAAGUCCAACAGGCAGUUGAAUGGAAAAAUAGAAUUAAAAGGGAGCUCAAAAGCAUUGGAAGAAUCACAGACUGUGUCUGAAGAAAUCGAGUUAAAGGCUUAAGGAUUGCACUUCCAAACAGUGCAGGGAUUAGCCAUAUUGAGUAUUUGCAAGCUUCACGUGAGAUUAAAGGGUCUUGGCCUAUGAGAGGAAGUAAUCUGUCCAGAAAAAUCCAGAGCAGGCAUAUUGGAGGACAAAUCAUAACCAGAGAGAUGAUUGCAGAAUAAGUGUAGGUUCCAAGCUUGUGAUGUUCUUCAGCUCCAUAGGCUUGGCCACAUAGGGUUUCCAAUGCACCUGCCAUUCCAGACUGCUUAACAGUUAAUUACGUAAAGAGAACAGAAGCUCAAAUUGGAAAAUUAAUUACCAGGAUCAAGACCUGUGAAUUAAGUGUUAUUGAGCUUAAUUUUUCAAGCAUUAUCACAAUCAACAUGGUAGAAUUCAAAUCCAAAUUAUAAAUAAGAAAAAGAAAAAAAAAAGGAUAUCAAAGGGAUAUGACCACUUUAAUUUUUUUUUUCUUAUUUGAAUAUAGAGUAAAUCCUGAUAUAAUAUUGUUAGGACCAAUAGAUGUUAGAGGCGACCUUCUUUCUAUAAAAGACCAAAGGACAAGAGGUUGCGGAUUGAAAGGCGACGACAGAUAGUCUCAAUAUAGACAGGGGAAAGAGACUUACUAGAAGGCUGAAUCCGACAACAUUGGUGAGGGAAGUAGCAAUGGCGACGCUGGAGAGGGCAAGCUGAUCACCAAGAUGUCCCACCAUUAUCACCGAUACAACUUGGAGCAGAUACUGCAACACCGAAACUGCCACCAUAGGUGCUGCUAUACAGCUCGUCUUCUUUACUUCUUUCACAAAUCCAUCUCUUGUUAUUGCCCAUUUCCUCUCUUCUCUACUUCUGCCAGCGCCCUCUUCCAUCACACUACCAUGUAAUACAUACCUCUUCUUAAACGCCAAAUCGCCUUAUAUACAAUUAAGAAAUGUCGAGUUCAUUUGGCAUCUUACAAACAAACUCAAAUUAUCUUUCAGAGAUAUUAUAAUAUUGAAAAAUAAAUAGCCCAUAAGCGUCAGCAUUGUUGAGCUGAUGAUUCUUUUGUUCGGUUCUAUUUAGUAAAUGUGAACGGUUGGCUGUUAUUUUUUUUCUUUUAACGAUACGGUCGACUGUUAUUUAGUCCAUCUUAUGAUGAUUUGUAUGAAUCCUAUUAGUCUUUUCAUUGCCAUUUUUUAAAAAUAUAUUCCAUCUUAUAUCAUUAUAAUAAAUUUAAAACAUUUAAAUAAGUUUUAACAAAAAAAAAAAUCAAUUUUGCUUUCAUAUAUAAAUACGUAAGAUAUUUAUUGGUACCUGCAUUUUGAUGCAGCCCAUCUCGCACAUGCUACUUAAAAGGCAUUUUAGUAAUUUUCCUCUUUGGAUAUGGAGUUUAUGCCUGCUCCACCGGAGAUUAAAAAAUAACAAUAAUAAAAUAAAAUAAAAAAGCCAACUCAUGUAUACAUCUUUGGAAGAAUAUAUAUAUAUGCCACGUUAUUCUUUAGUUGGCUAUAUCAAUCCUUGUCUUUUUUCAAAAAAAAAAACAAAAAUUGAAAAUUGAAAAAAUAAAAUUUAAAAUAUUUCAAAUUUAUUCAAAUAUAUAUCACACUUAUCUCAAUCUUUUUUCUCCUUCUAUUUAUUAUUAUAAAAUAGAAAUAUGAUUCCAUUAAAUUACUAUUCACUUUCUCUCCAUUUGGAAGAGAAAGUUGCUUGAAGAUCCCACAUAACAUUUUCCUUUGCUUAUUUUUCUUUUUCUGGUUAUUUCCCUUUUUUUUAAAUAAAUAAAGAUGCAAAAUAUUUUUAUUUUAUUUUUUUCCUCUCUUAUUUUUCACCAAUGUUCUGAUCAAUAUAUUCAUUAUUAAUUUUACAUUUAAACUAUCCAUUAUAAAAAUGAGUAAUAUGGUAUUCAAAAGGGUGUAAAAUAUAAUAUCGCAUAAAAGUACUUGUAAAUUUAGUAUAAGUAAUUUCAUAAUAAUCAUAUUCAUAAACUUAAUAAAUAUUUAAUAUUGCAUAUUAAUUUUUUUUCAAUUUAAUUGCAAUUUAAUCUGACCACUAAAUAAAAUGAAAAAAAUAUAUAUUUAUUUUUCAAAAACUAAUUUAUAUCAAUAUUUUUUAAGAAAUAACUUACUUAUUAUUAUUUAGUUGUAAUAUUAAAAAUAAAUAAUUUUAAUAAAUUUGUGUAUAAAAUAUGUAAUGAUAUAAAUGAAAUUCCUAAAAUUUAAGACCUCGCUCACUCUAUUGAAAAGGUAAAUUUAUUUUUCAUUUUUUUUAAAAAAAUAAGUUAAUUUUAUUUUUUAAGUCCCAUAAAUAUUAAAAAAUUGCAUCAAAUAAAAUGAACCUGAAACUAUUGGAUAAUUUUUUCUUUUCGAGACAAAUGCUUACACUUCCACGCGGAUUCUUUACCAGCCUCUAUGCCAAGGAAAGGAAAAAAUCUGUUUUUUUUUUCUUAUUUUUAUUUUUUUUCCAACCCACAUGAUUCGAUGGCAUAGGUUCAUACUUGGAAGUGUUUCUAUCGUGUCUUUUAACAGUACGGUGGCUAACCUCUUUUUUUUUUUCUUUUUAAUUAAAAAUUGAUAAUCGAGCGAAUAGAAUAUGAAAAUUAAGUGAUUAAUAUUAUUUAACAAAUUAAAAAAUUUUCAUCCACUUAUAAAAUUAAUUAUUUAAAAAUUAAAUUAUAUUUUAAUUCUUGAGUUAUAUUAUAAUUAAUGAAUUAGUUUUUAUAUUUUUAAAAUCUAACAAUUAAACUCCUCUAUUUUCAUUUCAUCCAAUCCAAAUGCACAAUCUUUCCACUCAUUUCUCUGUUAAUUUAAAUGUAAAUGGCUGAUCAAAUCUUUGAAAAUUAUUUUUUCUUUCCACAAUAUCUUUAUUAUUACUUUUAUAUUUAAACUCAAAUUUUCGUUCUUCCUUUCUGUUUCACGCUCUUUUUUCGCUUAGGCUAUGGUUGGAUUCUCUAUAGUUUAUGUCGCUGGAGGCAUCAACGAUCAGAAAAAUGUCUUGCGAUAAGUGAAAAUCUAUAAUGUUGAGAAAGACGAAUGGAGAAAGUUGCCGGAUAUGAUUGAAGAGAGGGACGAGUGUCAGGGGAUGGCUUGAGUUAGUGAUUCCAGGUUUUGGGUUGUGAGUGGUUAUGGCACGGAUAGCCAAGAGCACUUCAGGUCUAAUGUCGAGUUCUAUGACCCAAAUACAAGAUCUCAGUCUAAGGUUGAUAAAGUUUUGUCCUUUUUAAGAAUUAGGCCCAAAGGAGCCGCUGAUGCAGUUAAUAUCAAUAGAAAUGAAUACCAGUGGUGCUGGUUCUUGAGAGGCAACCAACAGCUGCAGCAAAGAUUAAGCGGUAAAGAAGUGAAAGAAAAUGAGAAAAUGAGAUGGGAAAUAGUCAAUUCAAUUCCACUUUCAGAAUGUAUGAGCGGAGAAAAUCCAUGGGUGAUCCGCCCUAGAGAAGGUGCCAAAAGGCUAGAGAAAGUGCCAAAGGAGUAAAGAAGAAGGAUAAAAAUAAUAAUAAGCCAAGAAUAUUUAUGGUGAGUGAUAGGGGAUCAUCAUGUUCAUCAUUAAUGUCAUGCAGUGAAUGUGAUCGUAGAGUAUUCAUCUUGGAAAGAGAUUGCAAUAAUGGUAAUACCAAGUGGAACCAUAUUCAGUCCCGCAGGAUUUUUUGGAUUUUCAUUCUCAGCUUGUUAUCUCAAGGAGGAUUUGGGUUUUUAAAUAUGUUGUAUGGUGCAAUAAGAGUAUUGUAAAAAGAAAAAAUAAUUUUUAAAAAUUUGACUAACCAUUUACUUUUAAACUAACGGAGACGAAAUGAAAAUAAAGGGAUUUAAAUAUUUGAUUUUAAAAAUAUAUGAACUGAUUUAUUAAUUAUAAUAUAAUUCAAGAAUUAAAGUGUAAUUUAUCCUUAUUUAAAUUAAUAAAACUCGAAUUUAAUGUGUAUCAAAUAAAAAAAUGUGAAUCCUAUUUCAAGAUUUAAAUUUUAUUUGGCAUUCCUCAAGGAAAAGGGAAUUGCCCAACAUAGUUUAAUAUUAGAACUCUUUCUGAUAAUGAUAGUCCAAUAUUUUCAAAUCAUAUGGAUAUUUAGAGAGUGUGUAUAAGUGAAAAUGACUGUGAAAGUAAAAGUGAGAAGAGAGUUUGAGAGCUCAAAUUGUGAGAAGUGUGAUAGUAUUGUAUUAAGUUUCUAAACAUUAGUAUGAUAUAAAGUAUGCUCUGUACUUGCCAUUUUGAUGGAUCUUGUACAUCAGAAAUAAUCAUACUAUUAUUAUUAUCUUGAUUAAAAGUUUAUGUAGAGUGUGUUUUUCUAUUCUCAAAAAUUUACCCAGCCUGUCUAACAAGUAGUAUCAUAGUGGGAGGUUAGGAAACAAAAAAGAGUGUACAGUCAAGAAUUGUAAAGUUGUUAUCAGGGACACAACUUACUUGUUUGUUGGAUAUAGUUUAUACGAUAUAUUAAGUUAUUAAUUACAUGUUCAGAAAAAUUAUGGCUCCAAAGGAAAUUAGAAUUUAAGUGGACCAUUAUGACUCUCCAAUCUUUUUUGAAAAAUUUCCUCGUGUAACUCUUGAAACAACUAUUCAUAUACUAUUUUUCAACAUUUUAAGUCACCGUAGCAAUUCUAGUUAAUUCAUCUAUUUCGAUUAAAAAGGUCAACCACAACAAUUAUAGUACGUGGAGUAUCCGUAUAGAGUACUAUUUGCUAAGGCAAGAUUUGUGGAGUAUUGUUAGAAGAAGUGAGGUCAACCAACAGUCUCAUUAUCCAGUAAAGAAGCAGAAUAUAGAGCAGCAAUCAUAGCAGCAUAGGAAUGCACCUGAUUAAUCUAAUUGUUGAAAAAUUUGCACCAACCAAUAAAUUAUGCAGUACAAUUACACUGUGAUAAUCUAUCGGCAAUACGUCUUGCUUAGAAUUCAAUAUUCCAUGCGAGAAUAAAGCAUUUGAAGGUGCAUUAUUACUAUCUAAAGAAAAAAGUUUUAUAAGAACAUAUUCAAAUGAUGCCAAUAAAAAUGGAAGACCAAAUAGUUGAUAUCUUUACAAAUGACCUCAAUAGUAUGAAGACAGAAAAAUUCUAAAAGUUGCUUGGCAUGAUUUCGAAAAAAAAUCUCAAUGAGAUAAUUAGUGUUGAGGGAGAGUAUUGAAGUCAACACUGAUUAUAAAAAUAUUAGAUGUUGGCGAAUAAAUUUAAUGUAUUUAAUGUGUUAUUUAGUAUGAAAAAUUAAAAGUUAUAUUUAAUGAGAGUAGUUAGAAGUUGUAUUUAAUAUGGUUGUUGAAAAUUAUAUUAAAUAGGAUUUUUGUAUGAUUAUAAAUAACCAUCGUAGUGCUUAUAGAGUAUGUGUGAAUGAAAUUGAUUGUGAGAGUAAAAGUGAAAAGAGAGCUAAAAAAACUCAAGUAAAGAGAAGUGUGAUAAUAUUGUAUUAAGUUUGUAAGUAUUAAUAUGAUAUAAAAUAUAUUCUGUAUGUUCUAUUUUGAUAGAUUUUGUAUAUAAAAAAUAAUCAUAAUUUUGCUAUUAUCUUAAUUCAAAAUUUAUAUAAAUUGUUUUUUCCAUCUUUAAAAAUCUAUUCGGUCUGUCUAACAUGUCACAUCACACAUCCAUAUAUUUUUGUUUAUGUUGAUUCCCUUUUCAAUUUUUUUUCAUGUGUUUUGAUUGCCUAAACGUGCUGCCUUCCAAAAAAAAAACCAUAACACAAAAGAAAGAAAAGUUUUAUCCAUUAGCAAAAAAUAACACAUACACUAAUCUAACUUCCUAAUUACAUGGGUGAUGAGAUCAAAUUGGUGGGCUAAGGCAAAUGCUUUAACCAAAUUAUAUAUGCUUCAUACUUGUUACUUAUAAGUCAUCUUUCAUUAUUCAUUAUGCCAACUGGCCAUAAAACAAUCCAACCAAUGUUUGAUCCUUUGAAUGUAUAGGAACAAAUCACACGUGUCCACCAUGUAUUUGAUUUUAGAUGUUUAAAUAAAUUACUUAAGCUAGAUGUUUUUCUCUUAAAAUGUUUCAAAUUUCAAUUAGAAAAUUACAGAGUAGUUCUAGAGUAUUGCUUUUGAAAAUUAUAAUUCUACCUUAUAUAUUAAAAAGGAAAAAAAAAAUAACUUUAACGAGUAAUUUACAAUGCUAUCUUAUAUAUUAAAAAAAUAAUAAUAAUAACUAUAAGAAGUAAUUUUGAAAUACACUUUCUCUCCUAAAUUUGAUAAGGGAAAAUAUUUUUUUUCUUUUUUUUUAUUUUACUUUCCUUUCCAAAGAAGAGAAAGUAUAAUUUUUAUUUUCUCCGAAUUUAUUUUUCUUUCCCUUCUAUUUUUCACAAAUUUAAAUAAAAGAUUAAAGUCUAAGGUUAGUGAAGUAUGAAUUAGUAAUGGAAUCCGUGGAAUUAGAUUCUCCAUCAUUUUCCAUGUAAUAAAUUAUAAAUAAAAUAAUUUGAUGACAUCAGACGUACGGAUUGUCUGUUAUACAAUAAAAGAAUUAAUCAUAAAAAUGGACUAAUUUUCCCUUUUUUUUUAUUUAUAAAAAGGGUGUAAAAUAAUAAAAUAUAAUGUGGCAUAAAAAUAAUUGUAACAUUAGUAUGAGUAAUCGUAUCCAUAAACAUUAAUAAAUUUUAUUUUGUAUUAUUAGAUUAAUUUUUCAAUUUAUAUUUAUAAUUUAAUAUCUUGCAAAUUAAUAUUAAUAUCUUCAGAUGUGGAUAGAGUAAAUAAAUAAAUAAAAUAAUAUAAAUCGGAUACCCUGGGUCAGCCGAAUCCUCCUCCCAAGUGUGCGCUCGCCCUUUCCCAAGGUGCCCACAACGUCCAACUGUCCAACAGCAGAAAAAUAAUAAUAAUAAAAAGUGCAAAACGACAGCCCUUCAGAAGAGAAAGUUCAAAAUACAUUUUGUGAGCUGGACUUUGGAGUUUUUUAAGUUUUGGAAGCAAUAUACGCUUACAGUUUUAUAACUCACCAAUUGACGGUUUUCUGCCACUCACCAAAUGACGGUGGGUGGUGGCGUUAGGCCAACAAUCGUUCAUAGCCUUUAAGUUGUGAUCAAUCUCUCCCUUCGUUUAGACAGAUAUCAUUUCUCUCUAUUUCUUCUUUUUCACCGGCACUUGUUUGAUUCAAAUUUUUUACUUUUUAAAAAAUAAUUUAAUUAUAUUAAAGAAAUAAUAAACUCUAACUUCUCAAAAAAUCUAUAAAAAAAAUCAAUCAAACAAAUAUAAUUUUAACAUUUUUUAAAAAUUUUAAAUUAUCUAAUUGAGUUAUCUGCAAUCAAAUAAGAUUUAAAGUUAAAUUUUUUUUUUAAAAAAAAAAAUUAAUUGUUUUUUACUCCUUUUCAACUCGACAAUCUUUUCAUUAUAGAGUUGGAUGUAAAUAUUAUUUUUAUUUUGUAUUUUUUAUUUUAAAUCUAAAUUUUAUGGCAAAAAUUUUACUAAAAAAAUUGUUUUUUUUAUUUGAUUUUCACUCAGCAUCCAUGCUUCACCAACUUUUAUUUUCUUUUUUGAGUAAAAAGGUUUUUCUUUAAUAAAAAAAAAAAAACACAAAUCUUUAAGAAUUCUAGUUGAUAUGCUCAUACAACAACCGACCUUUAAAACGAAAGAUUUAAGCAUUUGAGAAGUGUACCUUAAUUCUUCAAUAUUUUUUUUCUAGCCUUUUGAGUACCAAUGGAGAGCUAAACAAGCGGUCAAGAGGCUUUCAGAGUCUCCAUCUUUACUAAGGUUCUUAGAGUUAUAGGUCUUGGAUAUGUGCUUAAUUGUGUUUUAGGUCUUUGCAUUUCUUUUUUCAAACCUGUUCAAAUAUGACUGUAAUUGGGCUUCAACCCAAAGUUCAAUUCUAAUGAAUAAUCCAUCUUCUAAAAAAAAUAAAUAAUCAUAAUUUGUCCAACUCAAAUCAAAAGACUAAACGGAAGAAGAUAAUAUUAAAAUUUCUAAUUGUAUAGUAUAUUUUGUUAAUAAUAAAUCAAAUUUAUAUCAGGCCAAAUGAUCAAUUAUAUUAUAUGAUUAAAUAAUAUAUAUAUACAUAAAUAUAUUAUAUGACAUUAGUUUCUUUUACCCAUUUAGACAGGAAAAGACUCCUAACUUUAGGUAGCAACGCUUCUAUUGGAUAGGGUCUUUUUAAGGCAAAAAUGAAUUUUGAAGCGGUAAAUUUAUUUGAAAGAGACUUGUUAAAGUAAGAUUUCAAAGAUUUUGAAUACCUCAACAAAUCUCUUCUUUCAAUCUAUCAAAUCCGUACCUCCCUUACACCUUAUCUUUCUGUUAAAGAACAUGCUUAAUCCUUAUAAAUAAAUGGUUUCAGCAAGCACGGAAAUUAAAUCAAAAUAAUGAAUUUGAAAUGUAACCUGAUCGCAAACCCGAGCAAUCCAAUUAAGAUACAGAGGCGUCAAAUCUCAAAAGAGUGAUACUGGUAUAAAGCAAAAAAGGAUCCUGUUAGAAUCCAGGGAAUCCACCAUCACUUUCUCUCGACAUUUCGUAAAGUUGAAAACCAGCUCCCCAAUCCACAUGCCAUGUACGAAAAUAUCUGGCAAAGGUAUCACUUGGAUUGCUUGUCAUAAUAUAAACUUGUAUGGGAAACUCACAAGGCCAUCAGUUAGUAAAAUUGGUUAUUAGAUUUAAGAUCCCUCUUUAUCUGAAAAAUGGUCAGAAGAAGGAUGUAAUUGUUCUUCAUUCCCAUCAGUUUCAGCGGGUUGAUCAUGUAGAGAAGGUUCCUCUGCACUUUCAGCGUUCUCGGGAUAAAAAUUGAUGGGGAAUUUUGUGACCCGUGGUUUGUCAGACAAAAUGUUUCUCUGAACCUUAUCAAUUAACACUUUUGGUGGAGGUUCCUCUCUCAGCUGCUCAUCUUCAUAAUCAUUGUUAACAUAGUAACCCACUCUAACAAAUUCUUGACCCAGAUAAGAGCAGGUCAACAAAAGCACUGUCACACCUAUGAUAUCUUCUUCACGAAUUUUUGAAGGAUCUGGUGGGUCUGCCUGAAAGGCAUUCAACGAAAAACAUAAAUCAGAGUGAGUUCAAUUCACACAACAUGAACAGGAGUCCAACAUAAAGAGUUAACACACGGGUUUAACAAACAAUUGCCUGCAAAACAAAACGAUAGUUCCCGACAUUGAUAGGUCCAACAAGUACACUCUCCAAAAGUUGAUCAUACGUCUCAUCCUCAGCUGAUCCAACAUAGAUCAAUUUCCACUCUAAAUCUGCAUUUAGAUUGCAAAUGAAUUAGUCAUAUAUGCAAUAAACCAAACACACAAGACAUGCAUAAGAAAUGGGCCUGGUAAGCAUAUGCUGUUCUGCCAAUCCACACCAUCUUAAUAGUUUUGGAUGCUCUAUCCAUUUUUUCUUGAGUAUUUCAAAGGUACACUUUGGCACACUGAAGUCUGCUUAAAUGGGAAUAACAACUCAUGAUAUCCUACAAAAAUUCAAGCCAGAGUCUAUUAAAACCUAAAUUUGAGGUUCUCUAACCCUAUUGCUUCCAUUGGAAGAGCAAGUAUACAUUUCAUUUCUUUCAUAUUAUGCCUGCUACAGUUCAAACAUCGCUUAGAGUGGUUGACUUGGUGUCAGAUGAAACCAGUCAUAUCCCUGGAUUUAGAAAAGGGCGAUGGCAGUGUAAAAUCAGUUAUACUGCUACAAUUGGAUCCUGAAGGUUGAUAGUUUGGGGAAAAGUCAAUCAAGUUAUGCAAUGCAUAUUUGCAGUUGUUCCUUUAGCUGACUAUUCACUCCAUGGCAAGCUCCAUAAUGAAACUUUUGAUGCAUGAAAGCACAGUAGAAAACAACAAAGCUGAAAAUCAACAAAAUGUCUGACAUUGAAGAUUACAUCUGACUAAAAUCAGUCCCUAGCCCAUUAAGCUUUCAUCUCAAUCUAGUUGAGGUUGGAUAUAGUGAUCAGUGAUCACAUAAGAUUAAGAAAGAAAUAUGCAAUAAUCACUCACAAUCGAAAGGGAUAUUGUAAAUUCCAUGAAAAUAUAAAGCUAACUUGGCAUCUAAAGUAAAAAAAAAAACAUGUAAACUGCAGUUCUUGCACAAAUGUGAAAGCCAAGUUGCUUUAAGUUUUUUCUUUGCAUGCUUCCUUAUUUAGAUAUAAUUUUGUUCAGUAUUAUUGUUUGAGUUGUUAUUAAGAAACCCAUUAAUUCAAAAAUAUUUAUUAAAGACCUUUAAAUUUGAAUGACAUUAAAUUUCACAUAUUGUAAUAAUAAUAACUUCAAAAUACAGUUAAGCUGAGAAAUUCAGAGCGGCAGAGCUUCCAUUAAAUCUUCCAAGUAAAUAUUAUCAUGGUCAUGGAAGGUAGAAGUUCAUAAGGCAGUCAAUUUUUUGUGGGAAACUUAAAGCUGGAUAGAAGCACAACAAGAACAGGCUUCCUAACCAGCCAACAAAAUCCUUGCUGUUCAGAAUUAGAUUAUAGUAAGUGAGAUUGUGAACAAGAAUUAGGAUACAAGCUCUCUUUUCUUUCCUCAAACUUGUAUUCUCCAUAAGAAUAACAUUAAAAAAUACAUAUAAAAUUAUUAUAUUUGACUCCCCAAAAAUGCUAACCAGAUGGAACAAACCAUAAAUAUUCGCAUAGCAUAAUUCUACAACUACUCUGAAAACGCAAGAAAACAAUUUACCCACUAGAUUAAAUUACAAUUAUUCCAUUGCUCUUGACGGUCAAGGAGAGAACCUAAGCCAACACCCAGCAAUAGAAAUAUUUCUAUGACCCUCUGCCGCAGUUUGCUCAAUUAGAUCUCAGAUUUAACUCGUGAUACCAUAAAUAACAGUGUAUAUUCAGAAGUCAUAAAUCCUUCAUAAUGUCAGUAAUCACCAUCACCCAUUAUAACAUGUAGUAAAUAAAUUCUUAAGAGCUCUUUUAAGAAGUUAUCGAUUUUUCUCAUCGAACUAUCCCACCGUUAAGUGCAUACUACACCAAUUUUUCUAAACAACAGAACAUACCCAAUAACGGCCAACUUUGACAAGGAAAACAAACCGUAAAGUGAUAUUCAUCCAAAAUGAAUAAUAUUUUCUUUUCCAAAAAAAACUGCAAAUUUAAAUAAAAAGGAAUACAGAGGAGUAAAAGCCACAAAGAAAUACCAUCUUUAAGAGGAGUCAAGCACUCGUAAGAGAUCUCGAACUGAAAUGGGGACACAAACGGCGCCGGAUUGUCCAGUACAGUAACGUUGGUGAUAUUCACAGCACUCAUCGCGAAGGGGAAAAAAGAUUCAAAUUGAAACCCUAGAUUGGAGAAGUUUCAUGUAAAGGAGAAACAGAAGAAGAAAGACAAACAAGUGAACGAUGUUAGAGGGAAUUCAAAAAAAUCCAAGCUUGGCAAAGAAACAGGCAAUGUCAGGAGUAUGAAGAAGAGCAGAAACAAGAAGGAAAGGGACAGCGAAGGAAUUGGAUAGCGGGUUAAAUGGAAAUAGGAGGAGAGGAUUGAAGGUAAAGGGCAUAGAGAAUUGCAAAUGGCGGGAGAUGGGUAUUGGAUUUGGGUAUGAAAAGAGGGAGCGGGAAUGGAAUUUCAGAGUUCAGACUAGGGCUUGGUUUGAAAAUUUUGUUCUACUAACACUUGAGAAUCUUACACCUAAAAAAAUUAAAAAUUUAGAAUUUUCAAAAAUAACUUGUGUUUAGAAUAAAAAAAUAAUUUAUUUUUAUUAUUUAAUUUGAAUUUAAAAAUCAAACAUAUUAAUAAAUUUUCAUUGUUUAACUUUAAUUUAUAAAUAAAAUAUAUUACAAAUUCAUGUUAUUUUCAAUUGGAAUGGGAGUGAAUAGAAGAAUAUAUAUUAAUUUAAAUAGAAAAAAGUCCAUAUUAAACCCUUAUGAAAUAAUUAAUAGUCAAUCACUAAGUCCUGGUCAAUUUUUUUAGCUAUUUAAGCUCCGUAUCAGUGGACUAAAAAUUCUGUCCAUCUCCAAAGAUCAGUGCGGCGCUUAGCUUUCUCCCAAAAUUAAGUCAGCCUUUCACCCCUUCGCUUACUCCGUGACAGAUAUCACAAGCUUCUCAACGAGCUCAAUCGCAAGUGAGCUGUUCAUAGUGCGACUGAGUUGUCCAAGUCAUAAUUGCAGGUUUCCUUCAAAUCAGUUGAAAGCACCAGCAUAUAAGAAAUGAAAAAGCGAAACGAGUGUGCGAUGUAGGAUAAAACUGUGCAAGAAGAGAAAGAGAAGGAACGAAUAUAUGUAAAAUUGGUAAGUAAUUUGUAAUCAAAGGUUUGGUAUUGGAGAUUAAGCUUUGAGGAAGAUGAUAGUAAGCAGAGUUGAGAAGACAUCUGGAAGAGUGAUUAACGUCAAGAAUUUUGCUGUUUGGGUUUUGUGGAUUACAAAAAUACACUAGAUUAUUAGUUAUUUUUUACAGAAUUAUUAAAAGAAGAAAUGAGAUUGUUAAGUGUGUUUUACAGUUUUAAUUAAGAUUAGUAAGUGUAAAGAGUUUAAAUGGUCAAAAAGCUUGAUGGCCUCUUGUCUUGUUCCAUGACCUAUUAGGCCCAUCACCUACUUAUAAAUUAAGUCCUUCGACUUCCAUUGCCAACUUGGCAAGAAUUCGCCAACUCCCAACCUCCCAUUUCCAAAGCAUAACAUAUAUUAUGUGCUUUUCCAGUUUUGUUACGAUACUUAAUCAGUAUUGAAAUUAAAUUUCUAUUUUUUUUAUUUUUAAAAAUCAAAUUUUAAUAUAAUUAUAAUAUCGUUUUAAAUAAUUUUAAUACGAUUUCAAUUUCAAUUUAAGUCUUUUAUAACAUUAAAUAGUAAAAACCAACAUCCAAAUAGUAAUAAUAUUAAUAUAUAUAAUAUACAAUUCUCAAUCAAAAUAUCAUAGUAUUUUAUAUUUUUUUUAAAUCAACAUGGUAUUUUAUAUUUAGUUAUUCAUUAUAUCAUUUUUAUUCAAAUGUGUUAUGUGUAAUAUUAAUAUAUAUAAAAAUAUAUUAUAUGAUUCGCUCAUAUAAUUUUUAAUUAUAAAAUAAUUAAUAUAUUUAUAGUUAAAAUAAUAAUUAACAAAAUAAAUUAUUUAAAUUAUAUUUGUUAGAAAUCUUUAAUAAUUAAUUACAACAUAUCAUUAUUUUAUGAUAUUAUUAACAACAUAAAUAGUUAAGAGAUAGAGUAUAUUUAAAUUAUAUAAAUAAUUUAAUUUAUAAAAAUAGUUAGAUAAUAUUAAAUAUAAAAAUAAUAUAUAUAUAUAGCAUGCAAAAGAAUUUUUUUUUAAAGUAAAAUUAUUUAUUGUAUUAAUAAAAUUCUAUUAAAUAAAAAGAAAUAUCAUCCAAAUCAGAGACGAUUAUACUUGAUAGAUUCUCUAACCAAAAUAUGAGCAAUUAGAGUAAUAUUACGACGAACCCAUUUAACAGAAAUAUCAGUUUUAAAGUCUAACAAAUAUUUAUAAUUAUUCAAAAUCAAACAUCUAUAUAAGAUAAUUUGGCAAAAAUACUAUUCAAAUGUCUGUCUAAAUCCUGAAUAAGAUAAUUUGGCAAAAAUACUUCUAAUUUUUUCUCAUUUCUCGAGCAUAACUUAAAAAUAUCUAUUUUAUUUAUAUUUUAAUAUUUUUAUAAUUUUUUAUUAUAUAUUAUUUAACUAUUUAUAAAAUUAAUAUUUAAAUUCUUUAAAUAGAAUUAUUUUUAUUUAUAUUUUAAUAUAUUUAUAAUUUUUUAUUAUAUAUUAUUUAACUAUUUAUAAAAUUAAUAUUUAAAUUCUUUAAAUAGAAUUAUAUAUUUUUAAUAUUAUAAUUUAUGUGAUUAUAAAAUAUAAGAUAUAUUAUUAAAAUUAUAUAAUAAAAUUAUAAUAUCAUUUUUUUAAAAUGGAAAUUUGAGAAAAUAGAAUUUAAAAUGUAGAUUUACUUGCUUACUAUCUGACUAACUUUCGUUUGUGAAUGGAAAAUUAUAUUAUUAUUAUUAUUAUUAUAUUAUUAUAUUAUUAUUAUUAUAUAAUCGAUUUUUUAGUAUGAUUUUUAAAAAUAAAUUAAAAUUAAAUAAUUAAAUAAAUUCAAUUUAAUUUCUAUAAUAUCUUUUUUUUUUUCGAUUUAAUUAUUAUGGAACCAAGAACCGUGAAAUACUCUCGAUUGUCCUUCACCACCGAUUCUCUUAAAAGAAGGAGAUCAACAAUUAUUUGUUUAUUACCCGCCAAGAAACUGCUGGUGGUAACAUUUUAUGGUAUCAAAAUAAAUCUUACUUGGCUGAGAUUGCCUGGAAGAUCGACCCUAAAAAUUCAGGCUAUGUCGUUGAGCCUGGUGCUCAGCAAUGUUACAUGUUCAGGAUUAUUUGCCAUACUUUGCUCUGCCUUCUCUAUUUUCUUUGUGCUCAGCAUAUUUCAAACAUCAACAGCCAUGGGCAAUGCCACUGGGUGGUUGAAGAUAAAUUGCCGUCCACAGGAGAAAUAAUUGUUUUGUAUUUGUAUUAGACCCUGGCAGAUCAUCUUUCCACACUUGUACAAAUUUUCAGACUACAAAAUUUGCUAAUUUACAUGAUAAGUUACUUGGCAGCUGUGCCUGUUACAUUCAUCUUCCGUGUUUGAGAAUUAAACAUUUCUGCAAUAUCUGCCGCUGUGCUACAUUCCUCCGGAUUUCUGUCUGACACAGGGCGAACAAAUCUUGGAAAUCUCAUGGAGAUGCCACGGGAUGGAUGAACUAAACCUAUAGCAGCAUGGUGAACUGGAGAAACAGUCAAGUCUGCACCGCGUAUUGCCCAAACAAGUUCUGGAGAAAACCACAAAUCUGGCACCUCCGAAGUUUGGUAGUAGGACGGCUUUUUCAACAAUAUUCUAUCUUCAGAAAAGAAUGCUUUCAUCUGCAACUCCAUUUUGAAACCAAUUAUUACCAUAAUGGAGGAUAAGAUGAGUCUCAAAAGGCACCAAAAUCAAACUAGCCGUAAUAAAAUAUUCAGUACAAAUAAUUUUAAGGCGCUUGGAAUUUCACAAAUGUGAGAAUCCAUACACAACUUGCCAUCCGCUUUGCAACAAAAUGCAUGCAUUAGACUAUCAAACGACUAUCAAAUCCAAUUACCUCAGUGUAAAAUACAUCUGAGAACCCAGACAUGACACGGCAAACACUCUGGAAGUCCUCAGUCUCAGGGUUGUAACAUGCCAUGAGAAAUGGACUAUACCUGCAACAUAAUAAAAGUUCAAUCAAAUUGCCGGUAGCCUGCAACUUUAACAUGACCAGAUUGACAAGAUGCAAUUACAAAGCACAUGAAAUCAAAAUGCCUUGAUGCCUCGGUAACUUUUUAGUUUUUUUAUUAUUUUAAUGAUUUUGAUGAUUUUUCCAAUCUCUAACUAAUUGACCAAUCAUUUUAAUGAUUUUGAAAUGACUUGAAAACUGUUACACCAGUUCUUAAGUGAGAAGUGAUUUUUUUGUGCCAUUGUAUUACAAGGGAUAAAAAAGGAGAGAAAAGCAGAAGCAACUACAGGAGAAAGCAAUUUCCGGACAACCCAAGAAAAUGUUAAAGAGAAUUUUCUGUUCUCACCAUCCUGCUUUUCUCCCAUUACCAUGCCAAGCACCAAUGGGGACUAAAUCAAGUGAGUCAUUCAAUCCUUCUACAUAAUCUCGCUUGACCUGCAAAGCAGUAUUAAUGCAUGAAAAAUCUUCAUUUUCUUUCUUAGGCAGAAUAAUAACAAAAUAAUACAGUGAAUGCGAAAAACCUUUAGCCAUGUGUCUGUACGUUUUGAGGGAGAAUAUUCAGCAUGAACAUCUAAAGAUUUCACCAUAAUUCCUUCACAUGAGGAAUGCCAUGCUUCUUCAAGGAAAGAGUUUAUCUUGGCCAUUGUUACAUCAUUGGUCAAACAAGAAUCAUGAGUUUCAACCUACAAAACAAAAACUAGUAUAACCAAAUGAGAGAAAAUGACUCACUGUGUGAACUGGUAAUUUAAAGCAAUUACCGUCAUUUCCUUUGCGUACUCAAAAUAGCCCAUCCUCUCAUCACAAAACAAAUCCUUUAGGCCUGUGGUAUUGUAGAAGCAAAACAAUAGAAGAGGACGCAAGGAUAUAAAACCCACAAGUUGAAAGAAAUAAGAAUUUAUUGCCCAGUAAAAACUAAAAAUAAAUUCAUCAAUGGUGUAAGAAAUGUGUACGUUUCCUUCUUUGGCGAAGAGGAAGCUCCAGCAGCCUGCAAAAUGAGAGUGAUCAUCAUCAUAAGCAACCAUCUUUUCUUUUCUUUAUUUUUCCAUUUUUUUAAAAAGGAACAAAAGAAGAAAAAGAUUGCAAGUUAGGCAUUCACAUUAUAAAAUGUAAUAUUGAUUCAAGAUUAAAACGAUGAAUUCUAGCAUAAAAGUCAUUCCAAAUGGGGUGAUACAUAAAAUGAAGGAUGAAAAGAACAAGGGUGUUUUAAAUUUUGGCUAUUUCUAUUUGCUAUUGAUACACAAAUGUACUUAUAUACAUGCAUAUAUAUGCUACAAACACCAGGAAAUUUUGAUCUGAUAAAUAGUACACAGGUAAUUUGAUCUGACAAUUAGUACACAGGUCAAUACAACUAAAAAAGGCAAUCUCAAAGAAAUCCCCAUGAGAAUAUAAAUGAUCAACUUCUGGUCUGAAAUUGACAAUUGCUACAUGUCAUUAUUCCUUGAACAUAUAAAAACAUUAGACUUAAAAAAAUUCCAAGGAAAGGUUCAAGGUAAUUACUGUUCUCCAUUAGCAAACAUGAUAUCAAAGACAAAUACACAAAUAUCAACCUGCACAUGGUGGAAACACCAGAAAAAAGCAAAAAGUUCAGAACAGUGCCACAUUGAAAUGUAAUUGACUAACACUUUAGUACUAAAUCAUAGAGGCAAACCAUGUUAAGUGACCAUACAAUACAAAAUUAUCAACAAUUACAAAGACAAUGCCUAUUUCUCAUGUCAGGCAUUUCCUCAUGAAAACAAACCUAAGAGCACUGGUAAGGCUCUCCCCAAGGAUUGCCUUGUGAUCUUCGAAUGUUGACAAUUGCAAUAAUGGGGAGUGAAAAAUAUUAGAUCCAUCCAACAAAAUCCAAAUGACUAUAACCAGAGAUAUAAAUCUUGGGAGAUUUUCUUUCAUGUACCUAGAUCAUGCAAGUAAACUUAAUUGCAUUCUCUUUUAAAAGCACAAGUUUCAUGUACAUGAUCAUAACAUCUUAUCCACUCUUUGAAUAAUCACAUGCACUUUACAAGGACUAAAUUCUGUUUGUUUUCAUAUGUUCUCCAUAAUUGCUACUCUUGCUCAUCUAAAACUUACCCUAAUCCAAGUUUAAACAAUUGCUAACAUCUUACAUUAGUUUAGAUUCUAGAAUGUAACUAAAAGAGCUUGCUCCUCAUUCCACUCUUUGAACUUCAGACUUUCUGCCAGGAUAUUAAAUGUGACUUUGGAGGAGAGCUAUGGAAAUAAAAGUUUUCUCCAAAUCUAAUCAUGAUACUUCAUUAUGUCUAUUUAUUUUUAUGUUUGGGGGGGGGGGGAGGUUGAUGGAGUUACUUCAAUCAGUGAUGCUAGAAUUCCACACCAAUUUUCCCUGAGGCUGAGGGUAAGCUCAACAAGAGAAAAGGACAUGUUCUUCUCCAGUUUUUUUGUUUUUCACAAAUACAGGCACUGUAGACACAUACAUAAAUAUAUACAUACAAGCCAGAGGAGCACCGUGCUUCAUAAGCAUCAACAUUGCAAUAGUUACAUACUACUUACCCUUUACCAUUUUGGCAUCUCUGCAGGAAGAAUAUGCAUCACCAGCACCAUAUCACCUUCAACACUUAUAUUUGCACUAACUACAAUUCAAAAAGAAUGAAUUUGUUCCUGGAACAGAUAAUCUAACAGCAUUUUGCAUUCAUAUCUUAACUCGAUGAUUACACUUAUUCACGCAUUUAUACAUAUUGGACCACAUCAUGAUUGACAAAAGAUCAAACCUUUAUAUUAUUCACUGUGAUAAAGGAAUCUUUGCUCCCUCUCUCCCUUGAUGAUAGUUCCUGGAAUGACAUGAGCUUGCAGCCAUUUUUUCUAUCAAUUGCAACCACCUGGAAGCCAAAAGCACCAGCAACAUAAAUAACAGAAUCUUAUUCCAAUUCACAGACACCUUCUGCCAUAAGAAAAUCUAACCUCUGCAUCCACUAUGAAAGUUACUGCAGCAGAUUUACAAGAUUCCUUCAUUAUAUUGAUCAAAUCUGGAAAUCUUGAUGUUGUUUCAUCCCCAUUCCGUGAAAAUACACGAAAAGUGUCAUUUGGUAAUUUGUGAAUUUGGGCACGCUGACCAUCAUAUCUGAAAUUACAAACAGAGAGCAUCCAAUAAUGAUGUUGUCUAAAGAGGGGGGCAGGGGGAGAAGAGAAGAAUCAGAAAAUGCAUAUGUAAAAUUUUUUAUCUAAUUGUUGGAAGGAACAACGAACUACUUGAUACUUCUCUUUAAAAAACCACAAGCACAUUAGUGAAUAAAUGCAUGUAGCAAACAGAUGAUAUCAAUAAUUUUCUAAGCUGCUGUUAUUAAACAGUUUAUCAUGUAAUAGCCACAAUUUUUUGAAUUGAUUUAUAGUUCCAAAAUUUCUAUGUUUUCCUGGACAUGAAUGAGUUGUCUUCUUAUUGCUACAUAAGCAUAAAACUAAAUUUAAUGAGCAUGCAUGUACACAACAAUAUGGCUACAUUUAUUGAAAACUUGAACCUAAAUCUACGGUCAUCAUAGACCAAUAAUUUCUAAAUGCAUGAAGUUCAUAAAUUGUCAUUCUUGCCUAUAAUUUCUACGUGCAUACUUCAUACCUUUAUGAUGCAUAUGCUUUUAGAGAUAAAAAAUGGAAGUAGUGUUCAAUAAAUUGGAAACUUAAGAAUAGAGUUAAGUGGCAAUAACCAGCAUUACAGUAAGAAUUUGCAAGGAUGUUAUACGUUAACAAGCAUAUUCAUAACUCCACCAUCCAAAGAUAUCCAAUGAAAAAAAAAUAGAGCAUCUUAAAGAUGGACUAAGCUUGAUGAUGUGGGGCAUACUUGUAUUCACAUGUAAAAGCUUUAUCUUGAAAGAGUUUAACUGCUUGGGAAACUCCAUUUGUAAUUCUAUCACAAGAGAACAUGUACAAUUAGCCAAUACAUCAUUAGAUUAAACAUGUAACCUGCAUAGUAACAAGUUCUAAGUGAUUGAAAGAGUCUAUACUUUGCCAGCAUCGGUUUAAUAGGUACUCCUGGCACCAUAGACAAAGUUGAUGAUGAAAAUUCAAUGCCUUUGCUUAUGAGUGAGGGAACGAUCAAACCCUGUUAGAAUAUAGCAAUGGAAAAAAUAAAUCUUUGAAGCAUGUCAAAAAAUACGUAAAAAAAACUCAGGAGGAGUGAGGAUCUAAAUACAUACAACUCACCAAAUCUGGAAGUAUAUUAUAUGCUUCUACGACUGCUGAGGAAAGGUACUAGAGAGUAAAGAAAGACAAGAUUAGCAGCACAAAUAGAUAAAAAAAAAUUCUGGACUAAGAAGUAAUGCACACAGGUUGGAAUUUUCACAUGAAUGACAACAAGUUGAUUUUCCAUCGCUAUAAAAUAUAUAAAUAUAUAUAUAUUCCUACUUACUUGUACAUAAUGUAUAAAUCAUAUCAAAUUCAGUCACUAUGGAGAGAUGCAAACUUAGAGUACCAAAAAUAUUCAUGCAACCUAAGAAUAGAAAUCAAACCUGAAGUUUCUCCUUCAAACUUUCAGCUUUUUGUUCAUCGAAAUUGACCAAGGAAUUCAUAGCAACAGCUUGAGCCAAUGCAGGUAGAAUAGUUCUCAUCAUAGCUCCAAUCCGUAAGUUUCUUACCUAUUCAGGAAUACUUUAGACAGAAUAUGACUUCUCUAGCAUACUAUACUUAGAAUAUCAUUUCAAGAUCUAAUUUCAUGUCAUCUGAUGUUUACAAGCAGUGAUUGAAAAAGUCUGGAAAAUAACUCGUGUACAGUUUUCUCUCGGAUUUAUUUUUCCUUGAAUGUUUGCUGAAUCCAUCAGAAAAUCUAGAAUAGAAAGAUAAGUACUAAAUAAAUAUGGCAUUUAACCACCUAGAACUAAAAGCCCAGACUUCAUCAUUUUAAGGAGCCAAAAGAUGGCCAAAGGAAAUUGAAUAUCAGCUAAUGUGAUGCAUACAGACAGAAAAUCAAAUAACUGUUCCAUGAUAAUUCCUAAGCAUGACAGAGUCCCAAGUGAAAAAAGAAAAUCACAAGGGACAGAAAUUAAUAACAGUUCUAGAUUUGUCCCUUCAAAUAAUGUAUCCAGUUGAGAAAACUAAUUAUCAACAUGAGAUGGAUAAGUGCAAGUACCAUACAUGUGAAAAAGAUUACUGGAUCCUAAUGAAAUCUCUGUCUUCCCUAACUUUUAGAACUUAUAAUUAAUUACUAAUCUAAUUAGUUACAUCAAAUAAUUAGCAUGCUCCAAAAGUAAUUUCCCCUAUGUUACUUAAUAAGAGCAAAAAAUAUCAUACGCAGAUUUGGAAGACAUAAAUUUCAUAUAAAUACCAUAUAAAGUUAUAGAACUGAGGACUUUGCAGAAACUAUUACCAAAGUUCUAACAAUAAACUUCAUCUCCUUCUCCCUGCAAGAACGCAUGAGAUUUACAAUGAGCCUCUUCUUUCGAAGAGUGCUUCCAGUACCUGUUUGCACACUGAUGAAUAUUAUGUGACAAUAGUGAGUAUGAAGUUAAUGAAAUGCAUGCCAAUAAGUUAGCCUCUAAUUCCCUAAGUUAAAUAGUGACAUACACAAAAAUUCUGGAAAUAUUAAUUUAGAAGGUGUUGUAUAGAAUUCUAGCAUAAUUUUCUAAGAAGCAACCACUCUAGUUCUAACCAAUAAAUAUUUUUAGGCUUUUAGCUAAACAAGCAAUUGGAUCUUUCAAGUUGAUCAAAAAUUUUCAAGCAAUUCUCUGUUUGUUUAGAAUGGGACAUCAAUUCAGAGAAAAUCCCUUGUUUAUCAUUCACAAGAAUGCACGCUAAAGUUUUGCAUCUGAAUUGUAAGUGGAAUUGGCAUUUGACAGUUGGCAUCAAUCUCGAAUGAAUACAACUGUAAAGAAAUAGUUGAUCUCUGCUACAUGGCAUAAAUGUUUACAAUUGAGUAAUUGUUCUCGAAGAAGAAAAAGAAAGAAAGUAAACCACACUUGACCAUGGAAAUCCCAAACAACUCUAACAUCCAACCUAAUGUCAAGCAAUAGAGAAAGAUGAUGUUCAAAAAACUAACAGAAGUUCAGCCUAAAUUCCCGCCACCCACCUACACCAGGCAUUACAGUCAUCUUGUAUGAGAAUGAUUAAGUCAAAAGUUCUUCAUGCUUUGGAGAACAGUUAUUAAUACCUUAUCUUUUGGAGAACAGAAAAUAGUUAUUAAUACCUUAUCUUUUGGAGAACAGAAAAUACAUCUUUUAUGAGAAGGUGAGAAGGAGGAGCAAGUAAUGUCUGUUUUUGUCGGCACAUUUGAGCAACAUCACCUUCACCCAUCAAUAGAUCAUCAUGGUUUAGCACAUUCUCCAAACAAGUCGUCAGAAAAAAGAAAUGCAGUGAUGGUGGAGGAAGAAUUAGAAAAACAUUCCCUAGAGUCUAGACAUUUGUCCCUACCAAGAUCCCCCAUACUAUUGUACAUAUCCCUUAGUUUAGACCGGUUUGUCCCACAUGCCUCUUCUAGCGACGAAGUGACCAAGCCUCCACCAAUGUUGAGCUCCUGCAUCAUUAGCACAACAUUGGUAUGCAUUACUUUCUUGUGCUCCAGAGAACAUAAACAAAUCCUCAACCCUGAAGAUAUAAAAGCAUGUCCAUAUUGCAGUUUUCUUUCUGGAUAUGCCAAUUCAAGCCAAGUUAACUUAAAUUACAUAUCAUCAUACCACAGAUGUUCAUUGUCAGAAUAUUUAACCCUAAGCAUUCAGAAUCAGAAAUAAUAUGUCUCUUAGAGGGGAAUAAUUGCAACUAGCAUUUGCAUAAUUAAUCUUCAAGGGUUAGAAGAUCAUCAAUAUGAUGUCUGCCCAGCCAUAUAAUAAAUUUUUUUAAAAAAAAGGAGAGUGCAUUAACUAUAUUUUCAUGGUCAGCAGCAAUCUUGUUUGUGCACAGAUACACAGCAGGUAGCAAAUCCUCAGGAGACAACGCUAGCAAACUGCACACAUGCAAAAAUAUUGCAAGCAACACAUCUCCAUUCGUUAAUUAGUACUACAUUCAAAUUUCUUAUUCCAUAAGGAUGAAAGUAACACUGGAAAAAAAUUGAAAUCAAUGGAGAGGUAACUCUUGGCAGAAAACCUUCUAAACAUAUUGCACAACAUGGAAGUAGCCUUGAUCUUUCCCUUUUCCGCCUCAACUAGGUCAAAUGUUUGUGCAAGAUGGAUAUAGGGAGCAGGCUCUCCAAUACUCCAGCAUGCUGUGUAUGAAUCUCAGGAUUUAGCUUCAGAGUUUAACACUAUAGACAGAGAGAAUAAAAUAUUCAUAAGUCAAACAGCUCCAAAAUGAAGAAACAGACCAUGUUGUAUGGGAUUGUAUUUUUCUGGUGGUAGUGAAACAUAAGUAGCAGCGACAUUUUCUUUCAAUGAUCUCUGUAUGGACAGAUCAACCAUAUGCUUUCCCUCCUCUGAUACAGUUUUGUCCUGGGCAGAAGAGCACUCAUGAAUAUUGCACUGAGGCUGAACCAAAUUGUCUGAUGCAACCAAUUUCUCUACACUCUGAUCAAAGUUACCUUCAUUACCAUAAUGCACAUCUAAUGCCUUAUUAAUGUCUCCUUUGGUCCUCUCCAUGAUAACGGCAGCAUAGCCUCUUGAUGAUUCAUUACCGCCAAUUAUCUGAAUAAACUGAUAUAUCUCCUCUUUGUAUGAGUUUGUAUCAUCAUUCUGCAAUGAAUUUUCUUCCAUAGAUUGACCAGGUAAGAAUUGGACCUCACUACCUUGAGAAACAUCAGGAACGAGUUUAUUAAAGAACCUUGUAAUAGUAGACUGCCUUGGUCCACCAGAUUCCAAUUUUGAGUUCGUUUUUGCCUUCUUGCCAACACUCCUCUUCCUUUUUCCAAGAGUCAUACCACUUUUGCUUGAAGGCUUUAAGUUUGAUGACUUAUAAUUUUGACUCAAAGGAGUCGUCCCUGAAGUCUCUUGGCUAUUCUUGAUAGAAACUUGAUUUGAAAGUGAUUCAGAUUCGUUGAGAGAAUCAGUCUGAGAAGAACACAUGGAUGUCCUACAAGGAAAGAUUUGUUGAUGAAAUUCUGUUUCGUGUUCAUAAAAGUUUGAAACUGUAUCAACAAAAUUCCCUCCUGAGCUUUGAAUCAAAUCUAACAUUUGGUCUCGAGUAACCCACGAGGGCAAAGAAUCGCUAAGUUCUCGUAUUAUUUUUUCUGUUUCGUCAUCAUUUAGUAUAGUUAAAUUUUGUGAACCAUGUUCUUGCAGAGUAGAUGAAGAGUUCAAAACAACACCUGGAUCCUUAUCUUCAAGGGCUUUCACUUCAGAUAAAUUCCCAUCUUCCUCUGGAUCCAUGCGCUCGUUCAACUCUACCACAUCUUCCAAUCCAGCCUUUUCAUCAUUCUCACAUGAUCCAUGAUGAAAAGCCAUCAAAAACUCUUUCUUGUUAGCCAUUUCGUCAACUAAACCAGCAAAAUGCUUCUGAAUUUUAAUAGUGUGUUUACUGUUGAAUUUUUCAAUAUCCACGCCAACUGUAGGAAUGACACGCUUAGGUCUCAAGAACUUCACAUACUCUCUAAGCUCAUCAUAAUUUGAAUGCUCACUGUAUGGCACAAGAUGGAUCUCACAUGAAUCCUUUGACCUGACAGAGAAUUUAUGACGCUUCACUUCAUAAGUCCAUCCAGUUGGGACAAAUCCAACAACCUUAGAAUAUCCUCUUUCCACCAUUAUUUCCUUCAUUCUAACAAAAUUUGGCCGAAAGUAUGGCCAUGUCUCUCCUAACACGUUCCACCCAACAACAUGAACAUCACUUUCAUUCUCAUCCUCUGUAAACACCCCACUUUCCCCGUGUCCCAAAACCCGCAAAACCUCCAUCUUCCUCCCAUCUACAUGCACCUUUCUUUUACACCUUUGCGCAAUCUCAAGCAAAAUCCUCUCCUUCCCAACCACAUAAGUCGCGACAAGAAACAACACGCUCUUUUCUUGAAUCAUAAAAUCUCCCCUUAUUCUCUUUAUAACACUAACUAUAUGAUCGAUAGACUCCUGUUGCGAGGGAAAAAGGAAUUUAGGAUUACAAUAAGUAGUAUCCAAGAAAAUCGCAUCACAACCAACAAACUGACUAAUUAAGCCAUCCUCUUUCAUCGAACUAUGGUAUCUAAAAUCACCAGUAUGAAUAUACAUUUCAAACCCUUCUUGAUCCUUACCAGGAACCUUAAACAAGAACUGCACCGCCCCCGGGCAGUGAUUAGCAUCAACUAAUGUAACUUGAGAACCAUCAAUAAUCACGGGCUCGAGCAGAGGCAAUGGGAAGACGAACUGCGAGGGAAUCUUGAGGACUUGGAUGAGGAGAUUGGCUGUUGUGGGGGAGCAGAAAAUGAGGCCCUGAGACCAAUUAGAAGAAAGGCCGGUGUAGUGGUCAGAGUGGAAAUGGGAAAGAAAGUAGGUGAUGGAGGAGGAGGUGGAGAAGCGGAAAGCGUCGACGAGGAAGCGAGUUCCGGGGAUGAGCUUGGACAGUGGGAGAGAGGAGGGGAGAGGGAGCGAGGAGGGUUGGUCAUGUGGAGGGAUUCGGAGGGAGAGGGAAGCAAGAGAGUUGUGGUAAAGACGGAGAGAGUCUAGGGCUUCGGGUGGUUUGUCGGUGGAUUUGCAGGCUUCCAUUAGAAUUUGGGGGCUUUUGAGAAAAGAAGCAUUUUUUCGGCAAAAAUUGGUGCGAGUUGAAGUUGCCUGUUAGAAAUAUUGGGGUUUGUGGUUGUUUUUAUGCGGAGAAUUUCGGAGCCAAGAGCCAGAGUUGAGGACUAGUGACCGAUGGACUUGCAAAGAUCUUACCAUUUCCGAAGGAACUGGAAUUACAUUUCUUUUCUAUUUCCAUUCAAGAGUUCUUAUGUGUUUCCACAUCCCGACGAAGUGUGUUUGGUUGGCGAGAAAGUUUACCUGGGAAGCGAAAUUGAUCAUUAAAAAUGAGAAUUUUAUGAUUAUAAAUAUAAAAUUAAAUUAAAGAAAUUUUUUGCCAUAUAAAUAAUUUCUUAUAUCAUAAAGAUGUGAUUUGAAAAUAAUAAUAAUAAUAAUAAUAUGUGAAAAUACCAAGAUUUUCUUAUCAAUGUGAUCAUUUUUUCGAAUAUUUAAGGAGAAGAUAAAGUUAGGUAUAUGUAAAUGAAAAUAAGUACCUUUUUUAAAGAAAAAAUACUGUAUAAAUUAUCAACAUAGUCUAAUUAUACAAAUAUUAAACAUUUUAUUUAAAUUAAAAUUAUAACAUGCCAUUUCCUUAAUAAAUAAAUUAUAACAGAAAAAUAUUUUACUACUAAUAAUUAAAAUAAAUAAUUUGAUACAUUUAAAAAAAAAUUAUCAUUAUAAAUAAAAUAAAUAUUUAUUAAAAUUAUUUUAAUUCUUAAUAAAUCGAUUAUAAAAUAUUAAAUAAAUAAAAAAUAAUAACGGAUGUGCUCCCAUUAAUAACCUUCUUCAUUGAUACACAUCAAUCAAUAGCAUUUUUUGAGUAUUUGGACUUUUGCACCCAAAUUAAUUUAUAUAUGCCAAGAAAAUAACUAACAAAUAAAAAAAACAUUUUUCAAUUUGUUCUUGUUUAUGUCAAUAACGGAAAAUAAAAAAGAAAAUGAGAAAAUAAUCGUAUAGACAAAUUUCAUAUGUUCUUUUUUUUUUUCUUUCAUGUUUUUACAAAUUAUAGAUUUUUCUUCACUGAAACAUAAUUUCUCUUUGAUCCUCAAACAAAACCAGAACCCGAGAAACCAUAGAAGAAGCCAUGCCAGCUAUCUUGAGCGAACUGGUUCUUCAUCUAUGGUCUCCAACAAUGGCUUCCUUGACCUUGACAUGGACAUCCGAUGCCUAAACUCCGGCGUUGAAACUUCUUCUAUACCUUCCAAGCUCAGCCUAGGCACCGCCACUGCGUCCUCCGUAGUAUCUGGUCGGACCCUAACUUUCCCGGCAGAAACUCGCUUCACUGCAGAGUUGGCCUUCAUGAACAGAGCACCCAGGUCACUUGCUGUAACCACAGAGUUCUUUCUAUUCAUUGGAAACAUAACGUACACAUUUGCCUUUUGAAGGUCAUCGUCUGCAUUGAGAACGCAAAGUCUACGGCCAAUUUUCAGGGACUUGGAGUUAACGAUGAAGAAGUUUGGUGUCUCCAUCAUGAGUUCAGCGGCUUUGGUGGGUUGGUGGAUAUGCCGGAUUUCACCUGAUGGGAAGAUCACUUUUGUUGAUUUCGAGUUCUUGAGUAAUAAUGGAUUUGAUAGCUUGCAAGAGACGUGGUUUCCCAUGAUGAAGAAAGAAGAUCGGCGAAUCAAGAACUUCAAGCUCUGUCUUCGAUAUUAUUCCCCGAGCAGGCAAAGACUGAAUGUGAUACUUGCAGAGAGGAAGAGCGAGAUUGAGAUGGACGAAGAAGAAGAAGAAAAUGGGGGAAGAUGGGUGAGCUGCAAAGGAUGUUUUGACAUGUUUAUAUAUAGGCAAAGGUGGCUAAAACGACGAUGUUGGGAUGGCAGAUUCGGACAUUUGUGUUGGGCAACGCGUUAAUGUAAAAAAGAUUCUUUUUUUUUUUUUUUGGAUAAGGGAUUAAUCAUGUUUGGUUGACAGUAAUCCAUCAUCUACGGCUAAAAUACAUGAUGGGGGUGGUUGUGUUGAGAGCCUUGAGCCUUGAUUAUUAAGGGAAAUUGGAAGACUAUCACGCAAUUAGAAGCGUAAUUAAACUAGCAAAAAAAUUCAGUAUUUCUACAAGGAAAUAAAUCAUCAGUUGACUAUGAUAAAUACAGAAAGAAAUAAACUAUAUCAAUUGACGGUUAUAUUUUCACGAGAUUUCCCUAGUCAAGAACAAUUUCAGCAUAUCAAGGAGUGAAACUGGGAACAAAUAUUUUUAUGUCUGAAAAAAAUAGUUUAGAAUUAUCAAGUUAUGUUGUUAAUGUUAGUAACUUGACAUGGAAAAAAAUGGGCUGUGAGGAACAGAGGUAAUUAAAUAAUAAAAAGUGAGGAUUUGCUUAAAGACUUAGAUAUUAUUAUUAAUGAAUAGUAUAAGUAAUAUGUGAGCAACAAGUAAGUUUAAAUGUCGGUGUGGGCGUUGGUUAACCGAGUUUUAUACACUUUUCCACGCUAAAACGCAAGCUCAUCAACAACGUGCCAGGCCGCUACUGCAUCACCUUCAUCAUUUGACUCAUUUCCCACACCCACCAUUACUGUUAUCUCACUUUCCAGUUUCCUCCAUAGACGUUCUCUGCCACCCCCUCACACAUAUACCAAUAAGAUUAAUCUAAUUGAAUUACGUGAUGCUGGUAAUGCUAUGCUAGCUGUUGGUGUAUUAUUCUUACUUGGCUUGGCUUGGCUGCACUCGUUUUGGCAGAGAGGAUCGCACUCAUUUCACGCCGUACUUCAUCAUUGUACCAUUAUUUUAGUUUCGCAGAUUCCGUGGAGCUUCUGCCACACACACAUCGCAUAACCAGUGUUAGAUCUGUUCAAUUAUCGUAUGGAAUUUGUUGGUUUAGGGUUUAAUUAUUGUUUGUUUUUUGUCAUUUGCAUUUGGGUUCUUUUUAUAAUUCUCGUUUUUUAUGUGUAUAUUUUGCUUUUCUUCCAAGGAAAAUUUAUUUUGAUGCUCAUUAUUAUUGCUUUGACAGCAAUCACAAGGCCAUGAUAAGCAGGCGAGCUGUAAAGACUGCGGACAUAUUGGUAUGGAGGAAACCAGAAAAAUAUGGUUACCAUCACACUCCAUAUUAUUAUAAAUUAAAUUCAUGGUUCCAAAGGCAAGUUAGCGUUGAUGAUUGGUAGCUAGGCUAAGCUACAAUUCAACACCAAAAUUAAAAAUAGUAAGUCAAUUAUUCGUUAUUAUUCUCAUAAAAGCAACCCAUUUUUUUAAUUAAUGUUUUAUACUCUUUAUAUUAUAAAGUAAAUCAUUGCAUUCAUUUGGUAGGAUUUUUUUCCCCCUCAUACGAAAGGAAUAUCAUUAGACAUUCAAACCAUCAUUUAGAAGAAUUUAUUUUCAACAUAAAUAAAUUAAAUUUAGAAUCUGUUUAUAUCAAAAUUCACUGGAAGUUAUAAUACCAAGCCCAAUCAUAUAGAGUGAUUUCCACUAUACAAAUACGCCUAUGUGCCUAUCCUGGAUAAAAACAAAUUAUCCCAGCAGCUGCAUCUUCUGUGCCACAGGAUUUACAAGGAAAUAAUUUAGAAUAAAAAAAUAUUACUCCAAAUAUUAUUUACGAAUUUAAAUUUUUUAGGACUAAAAAAAGUUAAAAUUUAUGUUAAUUAACUUUUGAUAUUUUUAAUGAAUAUACUUAUUAGCAAUUUGGCAUAACUAUGUUGGAUCAUAUAUAAGGUAUAGAUAGCUACCAUCGUGGGAGAAGCACACCGUCGGAAAGGAUAAUGUUACUGUCAAAAGUGUUGUAUAUAGAGAAAUAUACAACAAAUUUAUUGCACACUGUACAAGUAACUACUGCAUCCUCAAGAUGCAACACUUAUUAACCUGCCAGUAUUACCAUUCAUUCCCCCAUUUUAUAAUUGUUUCAUUAGGGAUUUGGACCUGCAAUUAUUAUCAAUCUCACCUCCAUUAUCCAUUCAACAGACAGGGCAUCCGGCUCUCCCUAGGCUCGUGGAAACUUCUUCUAAGGUUUCUAUGACAGCAGAAAAUGAAGGGCUUGAUUGAGGAUCUUUGCUUGUGCAACGCUCUAUCAGCCUGUAAAUAGUACCGUGCAUUUCAAUUUUCCCCAUAUAAGUUUGUUAUAUUCCUUACAGCAAAGAGCCUGACACCAACUAAAUAUCAAACUAACACCAAAUAUAUAAAUCAAUCACCUCAUUUCACCCUGUUGCUUUUAUCAGGGUAUGCAAGUGCACAAACAUAAGUUAUGAUACGAAGACUUAGAGAUGACCGAUAUUUCCGAGGGUAGAAUGAUGGGAAGAAAACAAUUUAAGCUCUUAUCUUUUUCCACCAAAUGAAGUAUAAUUAGUAAAGUGAAAUUUGAUAUGAAAAAUGAGAUUCACUUACUGUUGAAUUCUUUUAGGACAACGGCUGAUCUGAAACUUCGGUUCAAAAUCGACAGAUUUGAGAUUUAUGAAGUCAAAGUUCAUGUCGCUCAGGUGCCUUCCCUCUAACAUCUGUAAAGUAUUCAUAUUUAUUAAAUAGGUUCAACAAGGAUCAGCUUAAUGAAAUUCUUAAAACCUACAUACUGGUAAUGGUAUUAUAAACUAACACAAGGAAAGAAGAAACUGAAAAAGGGAAACAAAAAUCUGUCCUAUCCUAUUAUUUCUCCAUUUUCUCGGCAGAUAAGUAGAAUGGCAUAAUAAUCAUUUAAUUUAUAAAGAUUCUAAAGUAUCAUCUCUAUCUUCUUGAUUUAUUGCUCAUUUUCAAUAUUUUAGAACACAAAAAUCUUAUCAAUUAGCAAGUUACAAUUCUCAGCAGUUCUCUAGAUAUCAAUGGAACAGCAUGCACAAUUGUUGAGAAUUUGGGUCUCAAGAUAUAGCUUCCGGUUACCAAUAUCAAUAAGUGUCAUUAGAUGAGGAGUCAUCAAGUUGCAAGGUCUUCGGAUCGUUUCGCAACAAAAUAGGACUCAGAUUAACUACUAUUUUCAUUGUCAAAAUCAAUCUAUGUUUCUCUUACGAGAUUUGUAUGAUUUUGAAGUACAUGUAUCUUAUUAAGUUAAGAUGAAAUUUCCUCAUUGCUGGAGUAGGCAGAUUGUGCGAAUAGAAUUGUUCGAAAAAAAAAGGAGUUUAUGAACAGAAUUGAUCAUCUUCAGAACUAUAAAAUGAUGACCAACUUAUCUAAAUAUGUACCUGAUAAAAUAUGAAUCCAAAUCUGCAAAUAUCUUUCUUGGUGACAUUUGAUUGAUAAAUGCUGGUACCACUGGGAUCAUCCAUUUUUUGGCCUUCAAAAAGCAAAAGGAUUCUUAAGAUGCAGUAACACUAUUAAAUGUGUGGCAAACAACAAACAACUAGAUGGUGAUAACAUACAUGUGUCUUGAUUAGGAUGAAUUUGCUCAUAGAACAUUUGAACCCAAUAUUCACCAAUCUUCAAGUGGUCACCUUCAUCCUGUAACAAGUUUCUGCCUCCAAAAAGAAGAGGCCCACAAAUCAUUUUUGUUUACACAAAACUGCGAUGGUUUGUAAUGAUUAUUUUUGGUUGUUGAUUGCUUCCCAUCCUUAAAUAAAUGAUAAUACCUGUCCAACUUUAUAUAUCAUGUACAGAGUUUCACAUAAAGUAAUCACCAUGUAACCCUGUUAUAUUCCCACCGGGGAGAAAGGACAUAACCAUAAAUCUCUACCCACUAAAACAAAGGAGAAGAGACAAUAACUUUGUCUCUACAUUGUGCCUAGAGAUACAACGCCACUUGAGUAUGCUAUAACCUCUAAUUUAAUUUUCAGUAGAGGAAUCAUAUAAUGUGAUUCAAGCCUCCUGUUAAUGUUGCCAUCCAAUGCAACACACAAAUAGGGGGAAUAUAUGACUUUUAACUUAUUUAUCACAUCAUCACUAUAAGCAUGAAUCCAAGCCCCAUAAAGUAAAUAAGUAUGGAUUCACAGUUUCCAACUACCAUUUUUUUAAAUCGUUCUACCAGUGCUGCAAUGAGGUCGCCUGCACAUCCAAUUAAUACAUCUUGCCACCAUAGCUUGUUUAUUAAGUCAAUAAUUAGGAGAAGCAAAGAAGCUAACCUGGGAUCCAAAUGAUUGUGCACUAUGGGUAAGGGCUUGUGCUCAUGAAGAUAAUUCAUUCCCCUGUCAAUUAUCUUAGGACAUUAAACAAAUCCAUAUUUGGUCUCUAAACCCCAAAAAGAUAAGCAAAAAAGGGAAAACGAAGUUAAUAAUUCAGAUAACUUGAAAUCGCAGAACGUCAUGACAUGUGAUAUAUAUGGAAGAUGGGCCAUAAGGAAUUUGUUUUCUGUGGAAAGCCUAAUCCAUGUAUUAUUUACAUUUAAAGAAUAUCACUAAUUAAUGUAGCUGAAGAUAAUUUUUUGCCAAUGGAGAUGACAAGAUGGACCCCUACAAAAUGGAAAGGAACAACUUUAUGAGGGAAUGUCGUUGGCUAAAUUAUUAGCUGUCAAAUCUAUGUGUGAUCAUAAUUAUAUGACUCCAGUGAGAAAAUUCUCUGAGAGUAAACAAGUCAGACAGUGAGGUACAACAUGAUAAAAAGAAAAUGAAACUUGGUUUAAGAGAAUUUUAGACCAUAAAGCGCCUACUAAAGAGAUAAACAUCUCUUCACUUAUGCCUUAUUUCUCUCUUUUUCUUGUGUUGCAUUUCCUUUGUGCCAACAAGAAUUGAUAGGAUGAAAAUAAUAUGCUUGUUCAACAAAAGAAAGCAGAGAUAGAAAAUUUGGGAGGCAUGAAUUGGUUUAAAAAAUUUUAACACUGUCAAGCAACCUCUACAACAUGAAUGCAGAGCAACAAAACAAAUUACCUAGCAAUGUCAAGUGCAUAACGAAGAGCAGUAGGUAGGUCAAGUCGACCUUUUCGGCACAAGAUAUCAUCUAAAUUCCCCUACAUCAGUGUAAGCAACAAAAAAGUCAGAAAUCAGAACCAUAAGCUUAGCACUUUACAAUGAUUAAAGGCUCUUAAGACCUAAUAAGACUUGAGUAUGAAAAGCUGUUAGUUCCAAGCUUAUUAGAUUAUCUAUCAGUUUUACAUAAUAAAAUAGCCAUUAGAUGACUCAGGCAUGUCUUAAGUGAAUGAUAUCAUUCCAAUUGUCAUUACUGAAAAGCAAAUCUUCAAGGAUAAAUAUGUCCAUAGUAGGAAUUACUUUUGACAGAUACUCUGUGAUGAGAAUCAUCUCCUCUCCAUGAACAAUUGAACCAAGAAACUGCAAAAUAUUAGGAUGCCGGAGUUCUCGCAAUCGAGUGUUGUCCUUGGCAGAUAAUUUCCUGCAUUAUGCUCAUGAAUAAAUUUUCUGACAUCCUAGAAUUGCAUAAAUUGAUCUUAUCCUUGAUCAAAGUGGAGGGAAAAAAUAAUAAUUUAAACAAAAAGAGAAUUAAAGGGAAGGUAAAGGUAUAGCUGGCACACAUUUUUACAGGAUGGUAAAUCUGACUCUUAAUAACAGUUUUAACAACCCAGGUUCCACGCCAUUUGACCUUGACUGAUUCACCAAAGACACCCUGAUAAUCAUCAUCAGAAAAAUUUCUAUGACCAGUCAAUUUCACAAGGAAAAUUACAUUAUAAAUGCCUUGUAAGGAACAAUCAUGCAACACAGAUUACAGUAGAUGAAUUCUAAGCUAGCAAAAAAUAUACGAUAAAAGCAGGAAAACCAAAGUGGGGAAAAUUAUGCAACCUGCAUCGUAUUAUGGCCAUUGCUUAUCCAGUGGUUGAUUGGCUUAAGUAUGUGAACAAUCUAAAAUGCUUAUUUCAAUCCAAUAUACAUAGCUUUAACCACUUCCUAGAAAGUCACAGAGCAAUGAGUGAAAUGGUAAAUUUUCUCAAUGAUUUGCAUUUGGAUAGAUAGUUUUCAUCAUCUUUGAGCAUCAGUGAAAUAGUUUGCUUACUGCAUUUAGAAAAAAAUCCUGUUGGAAAAUUUUCAACCGUCUUUUAUAUUUUCCAUCUAAUUUUUUCAAUUAUUUCACAAUCUUCAGAAGAGAAUAUGUUUGAGUGCCAGAAGUGGAUUGAACUCUUCUUGCAUAAAGCAGCAAAGCAGUAUUGAAAAGAGUUCCCCUUUUUCAAAUGUAAAGAUCUAUUUACCAGCAGUGAAACGGUGAUGAAUAACUAUAUUAUCUUUGAAAAUUAUAAUACUUCUAGAUCUGAAAGUCUACAAUAUUGUAAGACGCAAGUAUCAAGUAAAGCUCUGGCAAAAAAGAAAAAAGUAUCAAGUAAAGGUUACCGAAUCAGAAGGCCACAACAAAUGUCAUAAGCAGACAUUUAUUUGAAGUUACUCUGUGCAUUGAAUUUCAUUAUGGCAGCCAGUUCCUCAAGGUAGUUGACAAGGGGCAUCUCUAACAACCAACCAUCAAAUUCAUUGGGAACCAAGAGUCUACUUGAGACUAAUACCCAGUGGACAGAAUGAUCCAUAUACAGGGGCAUGUACUUGAUGCUGGCAUCUAGUAUAAAAUUUUCUCAAAUUGGUUGUAGAGGUACCGUAAGGUACAACAUCUCGCUUAAGCAUAAGGGUUUUAGGAUAUUUUCUUUUCAUUAGUAAAUGGAUGACAUUCUUGCUUUAAAUGAUGAAAUUUCUUAGUGUGAAUUGGAGUGCUACAUCCAAGGCUUUAAAAUACUAGAUCAAACUACUUGAGGAAUAGCAUAUACCUGUUCAACUGUUGAUGACCGCUCUGUGUUCAGUUCAGAAAUAUCAAAGUUCAGUUCAUUGGAGUCUUGUUCAUGUCUAACUGUCUGCAGAGGUGCAGAAAAAGUAAGAAAUAAAACAAGCAUCUCAUAAUGUCAGUAAUAGUGAGACUUGCUGAUCGAAAUGGUUUGUGUAAGAAUAGGAUCAUAUUUGCACCCAGAUAUACUUAAUUUCUAGAAAUUCAAAAGUCGAUGGUUGCACGCUUUGAUCAAAUUACUGGAAUUCUUUACUAAGGCGUUAAUCCUUUACAUUGACAAUUGAACUCUCUAGGUUCUCUCAAGUUUCAAACCCUAUCCCACCACACUCCCCUAUAUACACACAUUACCAUCUUCUUUUAGUUACUCUUUUGAUAAAAGAAAGAUGAUAAGAUUACCAUUGGUUGAUCAUUGAUAAAAUCCUUGCCACCAUGUACUUCCAAGAUUCUACAUAUAUCCCGAUGUCCAUACAGUCUCGCGUCUGUCAAGGGCUUGACAAACAAAAAAGAGGUUGAAUUAAUGCUUGUAAAAAAUUUCAAGUUCAGUUUACAUAUGAAUUGGUUAAUAGUGUAAAAAUAGUCGCUGGUUUCCUAUGCAAAUAAACAACAUUAUGCUGCAAUAGCAACAAAGAAAUGAAAAUUUUCCAUGAACUUAACAGUUACAUUCUAUGCUCCUGUAAUUUGAUUCCUUAUAGAAGUAACAGUUUAUCAGUAGAUUAGACGUCCACUGCUACUGGAUUUAUAUAACCUGUUCAGUUCAGAUUGGAAAUGGAAAUGAACGUCUAAAUGCCAAAAAUCUUGAAAAUUCCAAUUAGUCAAGUUAUUCAAAUAAAAAAAAAAUGUAAAUAAGGAAUUCUAUUCCAAGAAUUGCAUCCCACACCCAAUAAAAAUAAAAAGAGGUUGAGAGGCAAGAGCAUGGGGAGGGAGAGCUUACAGUCCGUUGCCAGCGGUCCUUGAGAUUGACAUUAGCUUUGUAGUGAAGAAGAAGCUCAACUAUAGGAGCAUGGCCCUCACUGGCUGCAAGAUGCAAAGCAGUCCGUUUGUCAUAGUCUUGCACGUUAGGAGAAGUACCUGCCCUCAGCAUCUGAUUCAGCCCAACCCUAUCACCCCUUGAUGCGAAACUCAAGAAAUUCCCUAUCAGUUGCAUGUCAAAAUCAGCUGAAUUGUCGUCGACUUCCAUCUGAUUCAUCAUCUUAAUCCGCAGAGAACCUGUAAAACAUAAAAGGAAAGAAAUUAGUAAGUUGAAUAGAAUUUGAAAAUGCAGAAGUGCAUACAUGGUUGAUGAUCAAAUACCCAAUUUCAAAAUCUUCAAAAGAGAGAGAAGAGAGGAGGGCUAUUGAUGGCUUAGCUUCUAGAGAGACGUUUUUAGGUGGGAAAAUUGGGAGGCUCUUCCUAUGUCAACACUGCUUGGGCUCAAGGCCUCACUUGUGUUUAAGUAGAUUUUUUCUUUUAAUACAAUCCUGAAAUUAGUAUGUGUUGGAAAAAUCGCCAGGAAAAACAUUCAUUCUGAACCCUCAAGAUUCGAAAAUUGUCUCCAUCCAACAAGAACAAAGUAGAAUCAUUAGCAGAUUUAUAUAUAUAUAUAUAUAUAUAUACAAAAACACGAUACAGCACAUUUGAACCAACUGGAGCAAGCAAUUGCAAGGGCAACGUAAAUUACCAGAUGAAUAAUUAAAUAAACACAAAUCAAUGACUCCAGGUCAACACAAUUUUCAAUGGACAUGGCUUCCUGUAUCCAUAAUUCUUUGGCGUUUUCAGGAGUUUCGAAUAGAUUCAUCUUUUUUUUUUGUCGGUAGCAUGGAAGUCUUUAACACGGGCGGGAGAUUUUAAAUUUAUGAAUCAAGGGUUGGGAAAAGUUAUUUGUCGAUUUAGAAUAGGGCGUCACAGCUCAGUCGAAAAAUAUAUUUGACAUCUAUUUAAUGGGAGCCAGGGCCUAGCGCCAUUUAAGUGGGGCCGGAUCAAUAAUUUAAUUUUUUUUAUUUUUUAAUUAUUAAUAUAUUAUAAUAAAAUAUUUAUAUUAGAUUAAUAUAAUAUAUUAUUAUAAUAAUAUUAUAAUUAAAUAAUAAUAAUUAUAAAUUUAUUUAUUAUUAAAUAUAUGUAUAAGAGUAUUAAAUUAAAUAAUUAAUAAAAAAAUAGAUAAAUAAGUUGAUUAAUUAAUAUGAAUAUUUAAAAUUAAAUUAUGUUGUGAUUUAAAUAAUUAAUAAUAAAUAAAUUAAUUAAUAUAAAUAUUUAAAAUUAUAAAAAUUAAAUUUAUUUUUUAUUUAACUGCUAUUUAGAAUUAUAAAAUAAAAUUAUAUUGUUAUUUAAAUAAUUAAUAAAAAAUAAAUAAAUUAAUAUAAAUAUUUAAAAUUAUAAAAAUUAAAUUAUUUUUAUUGAACUGCUAUUUAAAAUUAUAGAAUAAAAUUAUGCUGUGAUUAAAUAUUAUAUACAAUCGCUUAAUUGUUUAUAAUUUAUCAAAGAUAUUUUAUUAAUUUAUUCUGCGAUUAGAUUAAUUAAUUAAUUUACUUCUAUUUGAUAAAUUAUAAACAACUCUGUUUUCAUAUACAUUUAAUAGUAAGAUAAUAUAAUAAUUUUAAAUAUUUUAUACCAAUCGUUUAUAAUUUAUUAAAAAGAAAAAAUAAUUAAAUUAAGUAAUUAAUUCAGUGAAACAAUCUUGUAUAGGUUUAAUAGCAGGAUAAUAUUAUAAUUUUAAAUAUUUUUAUGCGCAAUUGCUUUACUAUUUAUUUUUAUAGUAUUCUUAUAUAUUAAAAAUAUUUUUAUAAAAUAUAAUAAUUAUUUAUAAUUAAUCUUAAUAUUUUGUAAAGUUAUGUAAUAACAUUCAAUAUAUACAAAAAAAAUACUGGUAUUAUUUAAUUGCAGAAUUACUGUAAUACCCGGCUAGACUCCGGUAUCGGAAUUCCUACCGUCCGGUGGAAAUCUCGGAUGUCGGAGACCUCUAGAAGGGUAAAACCAUGUUUUCAUAAAAUGUUUUAAUGUAUUUUAUGUUUUAAGCGUGAAAAGGAAAUGAGUUUUGAAUGAAAAUAGCUUUGGAGGAAAACCCAGGUUCGGCCGCCGAACCUCAAGUUCGGCCGCCGAACANNNNNNNNNNNNNNNNNNNNNNNNNNNNNNNNNNNNNNNNNNNNNNNNNNNNNNNNNNNNNNNNNNNNNNNNNNNNNNNNNNNNNNNNNNNNNNNNNNNNNNNNNNNNNNNNNNNNNNNNNNNNNNNNNNNNNNNNNNNNNNNNNNNNNNNNNNNNNNNNNNNNNNNNNNNNNNNNNNNNNNNNNNNNNNNNNNNNNNNNNNNNNNNNNNNNNNNNNNNNNNNNNNNNNNNNNNNNNNNNNNNNNNNNNNNNNNNNNNNNNNNNNNNNNNNNNNNNNNNNNNNNNNNNNNNNNNNNNNNNNNNNNNNNNNNNNNNNNNNNNNNNNNNNNNNNNNNNNNNNNNNNNNNNNNNNNNNNNNNNNNNNNNNNNNNNNNNNNNNNNNNNNNNNNNNNNNNNNNNNNNNNNNNNNNNNNNNNNNNNNNNNNNNNNNNNNNNNNNNNNNNNNNNNNNNNNNNNNNNNNNNNNNNNNNNNNNNNNNNNNNNNNNNNNNNNNNNNNNNNNNNNNNNNNNNNNNNNNNNNNNNNNNNNNNNNNNNNNNNNNNNNNNNNNNNNNNNNNNNNNNNNNNNNNNNNNNNNNNNNNNNNNNNNNNNNNNNNNNNNNNNNNNNNNNNNNNNNNNNNNNNNNNNNNNNNNNNNNNNNNNNNNNNNNNNNNNNNNNNNNNNNNNNNNNNNNNNNNNNNNNNNNNNNNNNNNNNNNNNNNNNNNNNNNNNNNNNNNNNNNNNNNNNNNNNNNNNNNNNNNNNNNNNNNNNNNNNNNNNNNNNNNNNNNNNNNNNNNNNNNNNNNNNNNNNNNNNNNNNNNNNNNNNNNNNNNNNNNNNNNNNNNNNNNNNNNNNNNNNNNNNNNNNNNNNNNNNNNNNNNNNNNNNNNNNNNNNNNNNNNNNNNNNNNNNNNNNNNNNNNNNNNNNNNNNNNNNNNNNNNNNNNNNNNNNNNNNNNNNNNNNNNNNNNNNNNNNNNNNNNNNNNNNNNNNNNNNNNNNNNNNNNNNNNNNNNNNNNNNNNNNNNNNNNNNNNNNNNNNNNNNNNNNNNNNNNNNNNNNNNNNNNNNNNNNNNNNNNNNNNNNNNNNNNNNNNNNNNNNNNNNNNNNNNNNNNNNNNNNNNNNNNNNNNNNNNNNNNNNNNNNNNNNNNNNNNNNNNNNNNNNNNNNNNNNNNNNNNNNNNNNNNNNNNNNNNNNNNNNNNNNNNNNNNNNNNNNNNNNNNNNNNNNNNNNNNNNNNNNNNNNNNNNNNNNNNNNNNNNNNNNNNNNNNNNNNNNNNNNNNNNNNNNNNNNNNNNNNNNNNNNNNNNNNNNNNNNNNNNNNNNNNNNNNNNNNNNNNNNNNNNNNNNNNNNNNNNNNNNNNNNNNNNNNNNNNNNNNNNNNNNNNNNNNNNNNNNNNNNNNNNNNNNNNNNNNNNNNNNNNNNNNNNNNNNNNNNNNNNNNNNNNNNNNNNNNNNNNNNNNNNNNNNNNNNNNNNNNNNNNNNNNNNNNNNNNNNNNNNNNNNNNNNNNNNNNNNNNNNNNNNNNNNNNNNNNNNNNNNNNNNNNNNNNNNNNNNNNNNNNNNNNNNNNNNNNNNNNNNNNNNNNNNNNNNNNNNNNNNNNNNNNNNNNNNNNNNNNNNNNNNNNNNNNNNNNNNNNNNNNNNNNNNNNNNNNNNNNNNNNNNNNNNNNNNNNNNNNNNNNNNNNNNNNNNNNNNNNNNNNNNNNNNNNNNNNNNNNNNNNNNNNNNNNNNNNNNNNNNNNNNNNNNNNNNNNNNNNNNNNNNNNNNNNNNNNNNNNNNNNNNNNNNNNNNNNNNNNNNNNNNNNNNNNNNNNNNNNNNNNNNNNNNNNNNNNNNNNNNNNNNNNNNNNNNNNNNNNNNNNNNNNNNNNNNNNNNNNNNNNNNNNNNNNNNNNNNNNNNNNNNNNNNNNNNNNNNNNNNNNNNNNNNNNNNNNNNNNNNNNNNNNNNNNNNNNNNNNNNNNNNNNNNNNNNNNNNNNNNNNNNNNNNNNNNNNNNNNNNNNNNNNNNNNNNNNNNNNNNNNNNNNNNNNNNNNNNNNNNNNNNNNNNNNNNNNNNNNNNNNNNNNNNNNNNNNNNNNNNNNNNNNNNNNNNAGUUUUGGAGCUUUGGGAACUCAGGAGCUCAUUUUCGUGGAUCUCCAAGUUUAGGUCGUCUCCCUCUCGAUCUUCAAGAGGUAAGAGCCGAUCUUAAGCUCCUUAUAUGUUUUAAGUAAGUUUUAAGUUGUUUUAUGGGUAGAGAUGCAUGUUUAGGCUUGUUGAUAAGUUUAUGGGUUUUGAUGUUUUGAUGAACAAUGUGUGUUGAUUGUGUGUGUUUGAAGUGUUGUAGUUGGGGUAUUUGAUAGUUUGAGCCCCCUAGGAGCUUGUAUGCUUGUGUAUGAGUGUUGUAGAAGGGUUUUAUGCAUGAUUAGGAAGUUUGGGAACCUUGGAGGCAAGAGGAGCCAAGUUUCUGCCCUUUGGCAGAAACCAGGUUCGGCAGCUGAAGGGAGUUUCGGCCGCCGAACAUGGCUUGGGAGGCAGCUUUAGGCUGCCGAAGCUUGCUCCCGAAAGUUGGAGUUUCGGCUCUGUCCGAGACUUUCGGUCGCCGAAGGUGCCGCCGAACAUGCAUGAGUUUCGUCUCUGUCUGGGAGUUUCAGCCGCCGAACUUGCCUGACUUUCGGCUCUGGAGGCACUUCCGGCCGCCGAAGGUGCCGCCGAAAGUGCCCUGUCCAGCCUUUUCUUGCAUGUUUUCUAGGGAUGUUUUGAGGUGUUUUUAGGAGGUUUUUGGGGGUAUGUUUAGAGUCUUGUUUAUAUUCGUUUGGUACCUCAUCUAAGUCCACCUGUGUAGGUUCGGACCCGAGGAACCGAGACCCCCGGCAGUGAGAUAGCUGCCUUUGUGUUGUUAAAGCUUCAGUCAUCAGGUGAGUGGAAUAACUCCUUAAGUUUUAAAGUAAAGUAAAUGAAUAAAUGAAUGAAUCCUAAAGCAUACUCAUGCACCAUUACUGCCAUGCAAUAUUUCAGGAUGUUUGCAUUAGAAUUCACGAAUAUGUUGCAUUGCAUAAAUUGAUGUUGAUGUGGAUGGUUGAUUGGAUGAUCCAUGGUCCUCGAUAUGUAUGAUGAGAUAUGGCAUGUUAUGUAUGAAAGUCCAGGUUGUACCCAUUCUACGUCCCUGGCACAAAGAAAGAGAAAGUCCGGUUGUACCCAUUCUACGUCCCGGCAUAUUGGAAUGUUAUGUUAUGAUAUGUUAUGUAAGAGAAAGACCGGUUGACCCAUUCUACGUCCCGGCACUUUGGAAAGGAAGAGGACUAAUGGUGACAAUACCAUUCUUGACGUGAUUAGCUGUGAUGUGU
rnacentral:lncRNA from 1 species